UACGUAGGGUGCAAGCGUUAAUCGGAAUUACUGGGCGUAAAGCGUGCGCAGGCGGUUAUGUAAGACAGAUGUGAAAUCCCCGGGCUCAACCUGGGAAUGGCGAUGAAGACUGUAAGGCUAGAGUGUGUCAGAGGGGGGUAGAAUUCCACGUGUAGCAGUGAAAUGCGUAGAUAUGUGGAGGAACACCGAUGGCGAAGGCAGCCCCCUGGGAUAACACUGACGCUCAUGCACGAAAGCGUGGGGAGCAAACAGG
rnacentral:rRNA from 1 species